UACGGAGGGUGCAAGCGUUGCUCGGAAUUACUGGGUGUAAAGCGGGUGUAGGCGGUUAUGUGUGUCGGAUGUGAAAUCCCAUGACUCAAUCAUGGAACUGCAUUCGAAACUGCAUGACUUCGAGUACGGGAGAGGAGAGUGGAAUUCUCAGUGUAGAAGUGAAAUUCGUAGAUAUUGAGAGGAACACCGGCGGCGAAGGCGGCUCUCUGGAACGAUACUGACGCUGAGACCCGAAAGCGUGGGGAGCAAACAGG
rnacentral:rRNA from 1 species